rnacentral:rRNA from 1 species
CCUACGGGAGGCAGCAGUGGGGAAUUGUUCGCGAUGGGCGCAAGCCUGACGACGCAACGCCGCGUGGAGGAUGAAGAUCUUCGGGUCGUAAACUCCUGUCGAGUGGGAAGAAACGUUUCGGGGCGAAUAUCCCCGGAAUUUGACGGUACCACUAAAGGAAGCCCCGGCUAACUCCGUGCCAGCAGCCGCGGUA